CAUAGCGGAGGAAAAGAAACUAACAAGGAUUCCCCUAGUAGCGGCGAGCGAAGCGGGAAGAGCUCAAAUUUGUAAUCUGGCACCUUCGGUGUCCGAGUUGUAAUCUCUAGAAGUGUUUUCCGCGUUGGACCGCACACAAGUCUGUUGGAAUACAGCGGCAUAGUGGUGAUACCCCAUUACACGGUGCGGACGCCCAGCGCUUUGUGAUACACUUUCGACGAGUCGAGUUGUUUGGGAAUGCAGCUCAAAUUGGGUGGUAAAUUCCAUCUAAAGCUAAAUAUUGGCGAGAGACCGAUAGCGAACAAGUACCGUGAGGGAAAGAUGAAAAGCACUUUGGAAAGAGAGUUAAAAGUACGUGAAAUUGUUGGAAGGGAAACGCUUGAAGUCAGACUUGCUUGCCGGGCUUGCUCGGUUUGCAGGCCAGCAUCAGUUUUCCGGGGCGGAUAAUGGCAGUUAGAAUGUAGCAGUCUCGGCUGUGUUAUAGCUUUCUGCUGGAUACGUCCUGGGGGACUGAGGAACGCAGCGUGCCGUAUGGCGAGGGCUUCGGUCCUUUCACGCUUAGGAU
rnacentral:rRNA from 1 species